ACAGGUACCAUCAUAUAGUCCUGAAGACAUUUGGUUUCAUCUGCUCUUGGAAGCUAAGCAGGGUCAGACAUAGUUAGUAUUUGGAUGGGAGACUACUGCAAAAUCCUGGGGCCUGUA
rnacentral:rRNA from 1 species